UCCCGGUUGGCCCGGGCAGUCUCGUCUGAAAAAUACAACAGACGACAAGGGUUGCGCUCGUUGCGGGACUUAACCCAACAUCUCACGACACGAGCUGACGACGGCCAUGCAACACCUGUCACUGGGUUCCCGAAGGCACGGCCCUGUUUCCAGGGCCUUCCCAGGAUGUCAAGGGUCGGUAAGGUUCUUCGCGUAGCUUCGAAUUAAGCCACAUGCUCCACCGCUUGUGCGGGACCCCGUCAAUUCCUUUGAGUUUUAAGCUUGCGCUCGUACUCCCCAGGCGGGGUGCUUAACGCGUUAGCUUCGCAGCCCAGGGGGUCGAUACCCCAAACUACUAGCACCCAUCGUUUACGGCGUGGACUAC
rnacentral:misc_RNA from 1 species